rnacentral:rRNA from 1 species
ACAAAUGACCAUAGGACGUUGAAAACAGGGCUUUCCAUUCGCUCAACCCUGUUUAAGCAGCAUACUGGCAGAGAAGUUGUUAGGUGGGUGAUCAUUAGCGAAUACCCGCUGUUGUAUGUU